UACGAAGGGGGCUAGCGUUGCUCGGAAUCACUGGGCGUAAAGCGCACGUAGGCGGGUCUUUAAGUCGGGGGUGAAAUCCUGGAGCUCAACUCCAGAACUGCCUUCGAUACUGAGGAUCUCGAGUCCGGGAGAGGUGGAGUGGAACUCCGAGUGUAGAGGUGAAAUUCGUAGAUAUUCGGAGGAACACCGGGUGGCGAAGGCGGUUCUCUAGUACGGUACUGACGCUGAGACGCGAAAGCGUGGGGAGCGAACAGG
rnacentral:rRNA from 1 species